rnacentral:rRNA from 1 species
AGAGUUUGAUCCUGGCUCAGGACGAACGCUGGCGGCGUGCUUAACACAUGCAAGUCGAGCGAUGAAACACCUUCGGGUGUGAAUUAGCGGCGAACGGGUGAGGAACACGUGAGAAAUCUGCCUUCAACACUGGGAUAACUCCGGGAAACCGGGGCUAAUACCGGAUAUGAAAUCUGCGGGCAUCCGCGGAUUUGGAAAGUUUUUCGGUUGAAGAUGAUCUCGCGGCCUAUCAGCUUGUUGGUGAGGUAAUGGCUCACCAAGGCGACGACGGGUAGCCGGCCUGAGAGGGCGACCGGCCACACUGGGACUGAGACACGGCCCAGACUCCUACGGGAGGCAGCAGUGGGGAAUAUUGGGCAAUGGAGGAAACUCUGACCCAGCGACGCCGCGUGCGGGAUGAAGGCCUUCGGGUUGUAAACCGCUUUCAGCAGGGAAGAAGCGAAAGUGACGGUACCUGCAGAAGAAGCACCGGCUAACUAUGUGCCAGCAGCCGCGGUAAUACAUAGGGUGCAAGCGUUGUCCGGAAUUAUUGGGCGUAAAGAGCUCGUAGGUGGUUCGUCACGUCGGAUGUGAAAAUCUGGGGCUUAACCCCAGACCUGCAUUCGAUACGGGCGAGCUUGAGUAUGGUAGGGGAGUCUGGAAUUCCUGGUGUAGCGGUGGAAUGCGCAGAUAUCAGGAGGAACACCAAUGGCGAAGGCAGGACUCUGGGCCAUUACUGACACUGAGGAGCGAAAGCGUGGGGAGCGAACAGGAUUAGAUACCCUGGUAGUCCACGCCGUAAACGGUGGGCACUAGUUGUGGGGACCUUCCACGGUCUCUGCGACGCAGCUAACGCAUUAAGUGCCCCGCCUGGGGAGUAC